GAGUUUAGCAUGUUUUGGAGUGUCACUGAACAUACGUCUCCAUCAGGGUUGAAUUUCUGGGGCUUUCUAGCAGUCCUUUAUAUAAAGUCAACCGAAAAAAUUCUUACCAAGAAUCAUGAGAUUAAUAUGGUUUUAUCCCCAAUACCUAGUGGGUGCUCAACCAAUAUUUACUGAACUACUAAUUUAAGCCAGCUGGCAUCCCUCUCCUCCUAACUGAAACUGACUAUACCACAUGUGGUAUAGACCAUACAGAAUUUAUAGAUUCUUCCCUGAUAUAGCCUAACUUCCUGACUAGUUCCUAGUAAAAACACUAAUGGAGGUAAGUCUACAGAGCUAUGCUAGAAAGAGCAACUUUCUUCUGCUGAAAGCACACAGAUGUCCUAAAAAUAUGCACUUUAGAUCUUCUUUAGAUCCCAAAAUGAGCCCAAGAAGGGAGUUUUCAUGUUAUAAAUAGAACUCUAUUGAAAAAAAUGGCUAAGGCCUUCUAUAGUUUUCACCACUAGAACUGAGUUUCCGUUGGUAGUGACAGAUGCUACGAGGCACAAGGAACAGGAAGCAGGUUCUCCUUUGAUGGGCCUAAUUUGGUCUUGUUUCCUCACAUUCUUCAACCCAUCUCCUUCCCCAGGAAAAAGGUCUAGCUUC
rnacentral:lncRNA from 10 species